rnacentral:tRNA from 1 species
UGGCCUAAUGGAUAAGGCGUCGGACUUCGGAUCCGAAGAUUCCAGGUUCGAGUCCUGC